ACCACCGCCGCGUGCGUUGCCGUUGCUUGAAGAGCCGGCUGGUGGGCUCUGCCCCUGCUACCAGCAUAGGAUGGAGAACGAUUCUACCUGCAUAAACUUGGAUGUUAUGCUAAAUUGAUUGACUUUGAUACUUGCUACAUUAUGAACAAUGAUUAUUGUAGCUAAUAAGAUGUUUGUUUCAUUUUUUCAGCAUAGGAUGGAGAAUGAUUCUACCACAUGGGCAUGAAAUGAAAAAUAAUCGCUGUUGCAAUCUCUUCCUCUUUUGUUCGAAUUUAGGAGGGCUUUUCGAUAAUUAUGUUUGAUAUCUUUGUCUUACCAGUGUUGUUUGAUUUAUAAUUUUAGGCCAUGGUCUUCUUAUCAAUAUGAGUGCUAUAAAUAAUAUAUUGGGAUGGUUGUCGCUCUAAAUUUCGCCAUGGAAUGUACAAAGCCUCACGUGAGCUUCUGCUCUUCUUAGUCAAUUAUUCAAUUUUCAGCUGGUCCUGCAAAGGGAGACAACCUCCUCUGUAUCUGCUCUCUCGGUUGAUGGUAAUCUACUCCGCUCUAUGUGUAGGCUGUUGCCAGGAGUUAGCCCCUAC